rnacentral:rRNA from 1 species
GAUGAACGCUGGCGGCGUGCUUAACACAUGCAAGUCGAACGGAGUGCUCUCGAGAGAGGAUUCGUCCAAUUGAGAGAGUUACUUAGUGGCGGACGGGUGAGUAACGCGUGAGGAACCUGUCUUGGAGUGGGGAAUAACAGUUAGAAGUGACUGCUAAUACCGCAUAAUGCAAUUGUAUCGCAUGGUACUGAUUGCCAAAAGAUUUAUCGCUCUGAGAUGGCCUCGCGUCUGAUUAGCUAGUUGGUAGGAUAACGGCCUACCAAGGCGACGAUCAGUAGCCGGACUGAGAGGUUGGCCGGCCACAUUGGGACUGAGACACGGCCCAG